rnacentral:miRNA from 1 species
CAGAGGAGUGUCCCGGGGCCACCUCUUUGGUUCUGUACAUAUUUUGUUAUUGUACAUAACCAUGGAGUUGGCUGUGGUGCACUCCAUCUGGUAAGGGGGCUG